GGCCUGAUGGUCUAGUAGUAUGAUUCCUUGUUAGGGUUUAUAACUUAAUUCGAGGAGGUCCUGGGUUCAAUUCCCAGUCAGGCCC